CCUACGGGGGGCAGCAGUGGGGAAUAUUGGACAAUGGGCGAAAGCCUGAUCCAGCCAUGCCGCGUGUGUGAAGAAGGCCUUCGGGUUGUAAAGCACUUUCAGUGGGGAAGAAAGCCUUGGGGCUAAUACCCUCGAGGAAGGACAUCACCCACAGAAGAAGCACCGGCUAACUCCGUGCCAGCAGCCGCGGUAAUACGGAGGGUGCGAGCGUUAAUCGGAAUUACUGGGCGUAAAGCGCGCGUAGGCGGUCUGAUAAGCCGGUUGUGAAAGCCCCGGGCUCAACCUGGGAACGGCAUCCGGAACUGUCAGGCUAGAGUGCAGGAGAGGAAGGUAGAAUUCCCGGUGUAGCGGUGAAAUGCGUAGAUAUCGGGAGGAAUACCAGUGGCGAAGGCGGCCUUCUGGACUGACACUGACGCUGAGGUGCGAAAGCGUGGGUAGCAAACAGGAUUAGAUACCCGAGUAGUC
rnacentral:rRNA from 1 species